rnacentral:rRNA from 1 species
UCCUGAUGGCUCACAUGAAGUUUCGUGCCGUUCCGACCUCGUUUGAUACGGUUACGGUUAACCACACGGCCCCUCGGGCCCGACCCGAGCCCAGUCAACGUUUUGACCCGAUCAAAUCGGCCCGUGACCCGAAACGACCCUACUUGGGCCCUACAACAGCCACGUAAAGUUUCGGGAUGAUCCGACGUUCUUUCAUGGGGUUACGGACAAUCCACGCCAAACAAGCGUCACGGGCCGACCGAGCCGGGCCAACGGGCCCUCGGGACCCGAAAACUGAAUUUUUUUUCAUCCAAACCCAUUAAAACACGUUACCGAGGUCUCACGCAAAAUUUCAUGCCAAUCCGACGUCGUUUGAUGGGGUUUUGAGAUAUUAUGAUUCCUCAAAAAUUUAAUGUCUGUUCCUGUCACUUAGCUUUUUGUGCAAAAUGUAUAUAUAGGGGAGGGGUGGGUGUUGAGCAGCCCAUGCCCGGGCAAGGCAUGCCAGCGCCCAAGCCAAAGGAGGCUGGUGGCGUGCGUAUAACAGCUCAAAUGCCCCAACGAUGACCGAGAACAAGCGCCCAUCUCCCCUCCUUCCCCCCCACCAAGCGCCCCUCCCCCCCCAUGUUGCCUGCCCACUCGCACAGCUACUCGUGAUUUCAUGCCCAGCGACUAGUGAAUGUGCCUCGACGACCAGCAAACCUCGAAAAUUAUGAUUCCUCGUAAAAUUAAUGUCUGUUCCUGUCACUUUACUUUUUGUGCAAAAUGUAUAUAUAGGGGAGACCAGGGGCUUGAGCAACCCCUGUGCCCAAGCAAGGGUCAGAUGGAAGCACACGAGACGCGAGGUUUAAAGCCUAUACAAGCAAGGCGUCUGUCUCCCCAAGCCCCAUUGCCUAUAAAACAAGCCCGAUGCCUUGUAAAUGCCCCACACGAUGCCUAUAAACGACAACGAUGUUUGCUAGUUAAUCGAUCGACGCCCCACACCUUGCAGCAUGUUGCCUAGUAAACAAGCCAUGCUGCCUUGGAAGCGCCCCACAUCAUGGCAUGUUGCCUAGCACGCUGCCCUUGUUUCCAGCACGGCGACCUGAAAGCGUGGCCUGACGACGUGCUUGCCUUCGAAAAUUAUGAUUCCUCAAAAAAUUAAUGUCUGUUCCUGUCACUUUACUUUUUGU